GUUGUGGGUAACGCGGACGUGGAAGAACCUCGUCUGCGGAGGAAAAGGUAGAUGUUAAAUGGUAACUACGCGCGAGGUUCUGAGGAGCCCUGGGAACAGGAAGGAGAAAAGAAUACCAAAAGUGACAACAGUUUGCCAAUCGCAGUCUUUAAUCUGAUAAAGCGGUUAUCUCGUCUUGAGUCCCAGGUGCCGAGUCAAUCCCCAUACACAGCCGCCGCCAUUGCCUCGAGUCCUUGUGUCUGACUGUCUGUUCCUGCUGCUGUAUGACACAGCACCUCGAGGCAAGGAAAUAAGAAAACUGCCUCUGAUCCAAGCAGAGAAGGUCUGCCUGUAGAUCUGCUGUAGGGCUUGUCACCAUUGGAAGCAAGAACUCCUGUAGCCUGUAAUACCAGCUGUGGGUACUACUCUCAGUGUUGGAGAUCAUCAAAAUACAAUUGGACCAGACCCUUUGGAAAUAAUUCUGUGUCUCAAAUGCCCUGUGGAGCACACACUUAAUCAGUUGAUGGCUAUGGAAUUUUCCAACAUCAGCUAAAGAGAAGGGAUAGAGUGGUGACUUCCAAGCUUCAUGCAGAACCGGACAACAGAAAUUGAGAGGGAAAUUUCUAUGACAGAAGAGAGAAAGAAGAAAAUUGCUGGAAUAAUGACCUUGAAUAGAGGAAAUGGGAUAU
ensembl:lncRNA novel transcript, ARMCX5-GPRASP2 readthrough